rnacentral:rRNA from 1 species
GUGGGGAAUUUUGGACAAUGGGCGCAAGCCUGAUCCAGCCAUUCCGCGUGCAGGAUGAAGGCCUUCGGGUUGUAAACUGCUUUUGUACGGAACGAAAAGCCUCUGGUUAAUACCCGGGGGUCAUGACGGUACCGUAAGAAUAAGCACCGGCUAACUACGUGCCAGCAGCCGCGGUAAUACGUAGGGUGCGAGCGUUAAUCGGAAUUACUGGGCGUAAAGCGUGCGCAGGCGGUGAUGUAAGACAGUUGUGAAAUCCCCGGGCUCAACCUGGGAACUGCAUCUGUGACUGCAUUGCUGGAGUGCGGCAGAGGGGGAUGGAAUUCCGCGUGUAGCAGUGAAAUGCGUAGAUAUGCGGAGGAACACCGAUGGCGAAGGCAAUCCCCUGGGCCUGCACUGACGCUCAUGCACGAAAGCGUGGGGAGCAAACAGGGUUAGAUACCCGUGUAGUCC